CUAGACUGGCGCUCCUUGAGG
rnacentral:miRNA from 15 species